rnacentral:rRNA from 1 species
AACGAACGCUGGCGGCAGGCUUAACACAUGCAAGUCGAACGCCCCGCAAGGGGAGUGGCAGACGGGUGAGUAACGCGUGGGAAUCUACCCAGUUCUACGGAACAACUGAGGGAAACUUCAGCUAAUACCGUAUACGCCCUACGGGGGAAAGAUUUAUCGGAAUUGGAUGAGCCCGCGUAAGAUUAGCUAGUUGGUGGGGUAAAGGCCUACCAAGGCGACGAUCUUUAGCUGGUCUGAGAGGAUGAUCAGCCACACUGGGACUGAGACACGGCCCAGACUCCUACGGGAGGCAGCAGUGGGGAAUAUUGGACAAUGGGCGCAAGCCUGAUCCAGCCAUGCCGCGUGAGUGAUGAAGGCCUUAGGGUUGUAAAGCUCUUUCAGUGGGGACGAUAAUGACGGUACCCACAGAAGAAGCCCCGGCUAACUUCGUGCCAGCCGCCGCCGUAAAAC